rnacentral:rRNA from 1 species
AUUGAACGCUGGCGGCAGGCCUAACACAUGCAAGUCGAGCGGAUGAAGGGAGCUUGCUCCUGGAUUCAGCGGCGGACGGGUGAGUAAUGCCUAGGAAUCUGCCUGGUAGUGGGGGAUAACGUCCGGAAACGGGCGCUAAUACCGCAUACGUCCUGAGGGAGAAAGUGGGGGAUCUUCGGACCUCACGCUAUCAGAUGAGCCUAGGUCGGAUUAGCUAGUUGGUGGGGUAAAGGCCUACCAAGGCGACGAUCCGUAACUGGUCUGAGAGGAUGAUCAGUCACCAUGGAACUGAGAAACGGUCCAGACUCCUAAGGGAGGGCGCAGUGGGGAAUUUUUGACAAUUGGCCGAAGCCUUAUCCAGCCAUGCCGCGGGUGUUGAGAAAGGCCUCCGGUUUUAAAAGCCUUUUAGUUGGGAGGAAGGGCAGUAAGUUAAUACCUUGCUGUUUUGACGUUACCAACAGAAUAAGCACCGGCUAACUUCGUG